rnacentral:lncRNA from 1 species
UGAAGUAUUGAUAUAUGCUAAAAUGUGGAUAAACCUCAAAAACAUUAUGCUAAGUGAAAAAAGAGAGAUACAAAGGUCACAUGUAUACAUCGGAGAUGGGGUGCAUCUGAUUGCCUGGUGUCAGAAGUGUGUUGUGAUGAGUUUCAGAGCAAGAAAAACAGUUUGGUUUGGUAUCCGUCUCAUACAGUCAGGUACUUUGAGGCUGAUGUCACAAACUAGUUUAUUAUCUCAUAAAGGAACAAACAAACAAACAAACAAAAACCUUACAUACUUGCCUAACAAACAUGUCAAAACACUUUAUCAAGAACUUACAAGACAGAAAAAAAAGUGAAUUAAAUGCUGUACCUAAUUUCUCAUAAAGAUAGAAGAUACUGCACAAGAUAUUUGUUUGGUAAUGUUUGAUAAUCUCCUUAAUUUACCAUCCUGGAUUUGGAGCAAACUCCUCAUCUGCUCAGGCAUGAAUACUGUUUUUCUUUUGGAAAAAAAAAAAAAAAAGGAAAGUAAACCAGCCUGUCAUUUUGGUACAGUGUAGUGCCUCUGAGUACUGUCUGCCUCAACUGUGUGAGUUUUGUCUAGCUGUGUGACCUUGUAUGAAGACAAAAGGCUUUUUGAAUGAAAGUCCUAAAAUCACCCUUCAAUGGCAACUCUUUAAAAGAAUGAUGGAAUCAAGAAAUUAGCCCUUGGGAAAAAUAUCUUUUAGACAAUGGCCAUUUUUAAAAUUUAUAAAUAUAUUCAUAUUUGUCCUUUAAAAAGA